UACGGGGGGGGCAAGCGUUGUUCGGAAUUACUGGGCGUAAAGGGCUCGUAGGCGGCCAACUAAGUCAUACGUGAAAUCCCCCGGCUUAACCGGGGAACUGCGUCUGAUACUGGAUGGCUUGAGUUCGGGAGAGGGAUGCGGAAUUCCAGGUGUAGCGGUGAAAUGCGCAGAUAUCAGGAAGAACACCAGUAGCGAAGGCGGCACUCUGGGCCGGUACUGACGCUGAGGAGCGAAAGCGUGGGGAGCGAACAGG
rnacentral:rRNA from 1 species